rnacentral:rRNA from 1 species
CCUACGGGCGGCAGCAGUGAGGAAUAUUGGUCAAUGGACGAGAGUCUGAACCAGCCAAGUAGCGUGAAGGAUGACUGCCCUAUGGGUUGUAAACUUCUUUUAUAUGGGAAUAAAAUGUUCCACGUGUGGGAUUUUGUAUGUACCAUAUGAAUAAGGAUCGGCUAACUCCGUGCCAGCAGCCGCGGUAAUACGGAGGAUCCGAGCGUUAUCCGGAUUUAUUGGGUUUAAAGGGAGCGUAGAUGGGUUGUUAAGUCAGUUGUGAAAGUUUGCGGCUCAACCGUAAAAUUGCAAUUGAUACUGGCAGUCUUGAGUACAGUUGAGGUAGGCGGAAUUCGUGGUGUAGCGGUGAAAUGCAUAGAUAUCACGCAGAACUCCGAUUGCGAAGGCAGCAUACCGGCGCUCAACUGACGCUCAUGCACGAAAGUGUGGGUAUCGAACAGGAUUAGAUACCCGUGUAGUC